AUGCAGUUUUCUGCAGUAGAUAACCUGGUGUCUUCUUUCAAGAAAUCCUUCAAGCACUGUCCAGGUCAUAAGGUCUGGCACAGGGAAUCUGUCACCAGUCAAAUUGGGGACUCACAUGGCAUUA